rnacentral:lncRNA from 1 species
CAACAUCAUCCGAGACUCCAGAGUGCUGCUGGUACCAGCCUGCUGUUCCUGACAUGAUUUUAGGAAACCAGGUGUCUCAGUUUGUCUAGACAUUUUUGGAGGACCUGCUAAACAGACCAUCAGGAAUCUCUCUGAGGCACAGACGAGGCUGGGGAACUCGCCCUGAGGCAUGAUUUGAAGUGUGACAACCUGAUCCCAGAAGUGAGUGCUGGUUUGGAGGUGACAAAAAAGGUGGCAGAACAAGGCUGAAGUGUGGAAGUAACUGAAAAACUUUAAAGCUCGAUUGCAGAGACUCCCUCUCAGCUUUCAUGUCCCCUCCAAUUGUUUACCACUGGUUGGUGAGCAUUUGCUGGUGGGACCAAUCUACUGGGUGCCAAGGAGUGUGGCCAGUCCUACGUCUUGUAGUUGAAGCAUGUGUCACACUAUUAUUUUUCGAAGCAAGAAAAUUGCAGUGGGGACAGAGAACACUGAUCGUAAGAGAAGCGCUGCUAGAAGCAAGCAAAUGGCCCCAAAGGUGAAUUUCACUAAUGCUGUGUUAUCGUGAGAGCUCCGUCCCUUGCUAAAAUCCAUCCAGCAAACCUCAUUUUCUCUCGUCAGUGGCAAAGGUCUGGGGAGGUCUCUCUGAGUCUAAUGAGUCCAUGGAGAAGCUGGGUCCAGAGAGGUGACCAGCAGUUGCACACCGUUCCUCUGACUCCUGCCAGGAAUUUGAAACAAACUUUCUAUUGAGCACAAAGAUGACUUCCUUCCACCAAGACCCUGUACUUCAGGUGUGUCUCGGCUGCUCCAGCAUCUUGGUCCCAAGGCCUUCUAGGAUCAGCGCUUAGUCUGCAGUAUGUGUUUUGUACUGGAGGAAAAACUGGAUGAAGCUCAAAUAAGAACACCUACCAUCCCCAGCCUCACUCCCUUUCACUUCCAAGGACCAGGGCCCACCCUUCCAUUUCCCAGCCAAGACUGCAGAUGCAGAGACUGGAGCCUGACCCUCCCUUUUAGGGAGCCUGCCAAACAGAAUAGAGGGGCUUUUGACAUGCCUGUGGGCAUAUUACAGGAAGGGACCCAAGGACAAGGACUUCUUUAUUUUGUAGGGAAGGGGCCUAGUCAAAAGGAAAGGGAGAAUGGUCAGGAGGAUUGGUGUAGAGUGAGGGCUUACAGAGAGAAGACGAGAGGAAGAAAGAGAAGUAGGAGAGUUAGGGAGAGAGGGAACCUCCGUGCGUGUGGUCUUCCAGAAGCCUGUGCUAUGGGAUGUGCUCUUUGCGCAGUGCAAGGGGAUGAGGCGGCCAGACAAGGGACCAACACUGAUAAGGAGGGGUUCUCUACUAGUUGAAUGGCCAGAAGAGGAAAGGGUUAGGAAGGAGGAAACAAAAAGAGUCAAAGUCAGGUACAGAAGGAAAAUCUCAGGCAGGCCGGGUUCACUCAUUAGCUUAUUGGUUGCACCUGAUAUGAGCACUGGGCUGCUGGGAAAUGAUGCCUACAAUUUCAGGGUAAUUAUAUCCAACUAUUGCACUCCCUCCUUCCCCUUCUCAGGUGUUGCCUCCAGCACCAGUUGCAUGGUUCCACUCUAGACCUUGAAGAGUGGUGGGGAAGGAACAACAGUGCCAAUGGAAUCCUCGGAAGGGGAUUCCAGAAGAAAGGAUGGUUUCAGGAGAUCCUUGGUGAAGGGGCUGUAGUAUCUGAGAGUUUACCCCCAUCUCCACUGGCUUGCCUGCCCACUGCCAAGCUGCCUAUUGAUAUUUAUUUGUUUCUGUUUAUUUGUCAGGACCACAUGCAUACACAUAGUUGCUGGCAUACACAAUUAACCAGGUGGAGUAUUUCUGAUUUGUGGUUUAACACUGCCCUGCACUUAACAGGUUUACGUCCCAGGGCCCCACGGCUGUCUCACAUGGUUCCCUAGCAACCAAAUGAGACAGGGAAAUGUGCACAGUUUCAUCACCACAAGAUGUUAGGUCAAUUAAUAUUCAUUAGCAGUGCCUGUAUUUGGCUGCUAGGAGACAUUAUGGAGAAAAAAAUCUUUGUUGCCUGAGUGGGGGAUGGAAGGAGUAUAGGGACCAAUGAAUAUGUAUAUUAUGUACUGA